CGUAGGGUGCAAGCGUUAAUCGGAAUUACUGGGCGUAAAGCGUGCGCAGGCGGUUUUGUAAGACGGAGGUGAAAUCCCCGGGCUCAACCUGGGAACUGCCUUUGUGACUGCAAGGCUAGAGUACGGCAGAGGGGGAUGGAAUUCCGCGUGUAGCAGUGAAAUGCGUAGAUAUGCGGAGGAACACCGAUGGCGAAGGCAAUCCCCUGGGCCUGUACUGACGCUCAUGCACGAAAGCGUGGGGGAGCAAACAGGAUU
rnacentral:rRNA from 1 species